AUCGUGUGCAGGAUUGGACAAAACAAGAUGGCAGACAGCAGUUCCAAACAAAGCAUCACUUCCCUUUUCCUUUCUGCAGCAUACGAGAAGGUAGGUAAAUUUUUAGAGCGGAGAAAUUUGAAAUAAUCUUUGUUUAGUUAAGAACAUAUUUCUGCUAAACUUCUUUCACAGUAAGAAUGGUUGUGUUUGUGGCAUUUUUCGAAGCAAAAUGCAUCCGAUGACGUCUGAGUUUUGUGAUUUUUAAAGGAUUCUGAUUUAGUGUGGCCAUGCAAGAACUAGUCAUUUGAAUUUUCCCCCUUGAGUAUAUAAAAUAAUCAUAUAACGCUCCCCCUUUUAUAUUUUCUAUUAGAUUGAAAUAUUUUUGGUUUAAAUUUGUGAGAGCAUACCGCCAGUUAGAACGAUCGAGACGAAUUAGAGGUCAGACCAGGGAAGACCGCACGAGGAGUCGGACAGAACCGCGUGCUCCCGAACAGGAACCGGAUGACGACAGUAUCAUAACGAAAUUUGCAAUGUAUAAAACAGAUGAUAGAAUUCUGAAAGAGGGGAGAAGAGUAAUGAAUGGAGUAAUGAAUUGGCAAAAUAAUGUGGGACAAAAGCAAUAGUAAGAUGCAGAACAAAAAUGUCUGAACUUUUCACCGUGAGGUGAGGUGACAGGGAGAUUAUUAGUAUGUAUGUUUAUAGCUUGUUUACAAGAUCAUGAGGGUGAAAUUGAUUUUGGUCAGAGGAAACGCGUAACCAAUCGGAGUGUAAGAAAUCAGUCACCAGAGGUCAAGCAUUUGUAUAUAUUAUUUACAAGAAAAAUGAAAUUAAAAAGUAUGCAAAACCUUACAAGUGAAGUUGAGUAUGCAACGCUAAAUUAUAGAUUUUUCAAGGAAAUAAUUAUGUUGGCUUUGAGUUUGAAUUAAAAGCCAAUGUCAAUAUUACAGAUUAUUAAGAUAUAACAAAUAUGGUAAGGAAUUUUGGAGGAUGUACGGGAGUAUAAAUGCGAGGAACAAAGACAGAGUUCUUCAGUAACUGAACAGAACUUUGUCUUUGGUCUUUCAUUUAUACAGGUAGGAUAUUGAGUAUACUUGCGCAUUUCUGAAAUAACUUUUCAAUUUUUCAGAUGGCUUCGUUAAUUUUUGUGUGUGAACUUUUAUAUUAAUGUUUGUAAUUAUUAUUGUAUAUUGUAUAAUAUGAAUUGUAAUCAAUAAUUAUAAUGAUGAAAUGUUUCUUUAUUAAAAAACAUUAGCUGAACAG